GACGAACGCUGGCGGCGUGCUUAACACAUGCAAGUCGAACGGUGAAGCUGGAGCUUGCUCCGGUGGAUUAGUGGCGAACGGGUGAGUAACACGUGAGCAAUCUGCCCUUGACUCUGGGAUAACUGCGGGAAACUGCAGCUAAUACCGGAUACUUUCACUGGAAGGCAUCUUCUGGUGAAGAAAGAAUUUCGGUCAAGGAUGAGCUCGCGGCCUAUCAGCUUGUUGGUGAGGUAACGGCUCACCAAGGCGACGACGGGUAGCCGGCCUGAGAGGGUGACCGGCCACACUGGGACUGAGACACGGCCCAGACUCCUACGGGAGGCAGCAGUGGGGAAUAUUGCACAAUGGGCGCAAGCCUGAUGCAGCAACGCCGCGUGAGGGAUGAAGGCCUUCGGGUUGUAAACCUCUUUUAGCAGGGAAGAAGCGAAAGUGACGGUACCUGCAGAAAAAGCACCGGCUAACUACGUGCCAGCCGCCGCAGUAA
rnacentral:rRNA from 1 species